UAUGUCUUAGUGUAUGGUGCACGAAAGUUUUUGAUACUUUUAGUGAUAGUUCAAAUCUAUUAGAUAUAA
rnacentral:tRNA from 1 species